AGCUGGGCAUAGAUAACUAAAUCUGUUGCUGCUGUCAAGUUGGUAGGAAUGCCUUUCUGUUUCAAAAGCCUUUCACCAAUUGCACCUGUAAUCACAGAAGAAUCUCUCAGUAGAGCACCUCAGGCACGCAGGGAAUGGAGAACUGCACCCAGCAAGAAGCUCUGUCUGACCCUAUUUCUCCACAGUCCUGCUGCUGACAAAGCCUUCCCACACUUCUGUGAAAUGAUCUACCUGUGCUAUUAGAUUUCAUAUACAGAUUUUAUUUUUCUCUGAAGACUACAUUAAUUGGAAUGAACAUUGCUGUUUGCAUAAGGGAAGAAAAGGAAGAUGUCACCAUGCUGGAAAGCCUCAUCUGACUUUUCUUGGAAAAAGGCUUUGUAUUCUGUGAAAGGCACAGGAGCCUGCCGGACAAAAUGGAAAACUCCCCACAUUAGGAUAUUUCAAAAGCAAUGCUGCAAUGAUCAAUAAACGAGACAGCAGGGGCAGAAAAUGGACUGCAGGUCAGGAAAAAAAAGAAUGUGAAAGGAAGGCAAACAGGAAUAAAAAAAGGAACCUGGACUUUUGCUGGUUAAACCAAAUUUCAAACAUACACAUAACCUAUAGACACAUAAAAAUGUGUUUAUACAUCAGAAUGGAGAAUGUGAGUUCUGCUGUUUAUCUUGAAGAAGAACACCAGCAGCACUGUCCACUCUUCAGCACCAGCAGAUGUGGUCACCAUUAAUCAUUUGGCAGAAAAGAAGUACAGGAGGUAACCCUCACAGCCCACAGACACACACAAGUCUCUUGCCUUGAAAACAAUCAAAAAUCUGGUAAUGCUCAGAAAUACAAAACCAAUGGUCCUGGGAAAAAUAAAAUAAAUCACAGGUAUAUUUCACUUUAUUUAUUUGUUCUUCAUUUUGAUAGCACAUCUCAAAUUACACUUGGUAAUGAGAUCUUACAAAUCUUUCCCCUGCUCUGGGACAAAAAGCAAAAACCACUCAUGCAUAAGGUAUUGAAUGCAUUCACAACAAAUAUGUUGUAUGUUGGGCUUUUGAACAUCAUAAAUAUGAGAACAUUAAACCAACUGUCAUUGGUAUUUUUUAACAAUAUAAUUGUUAGGAUCAUAGCAGCUUAAAAGGUUUAACUCAUGUUUGCCUGCUUCCAAUAUUUUUAUUUUAAGUUUCUACUACAAUUUGGUAAGAGAUUAAAAAAUAUAGAGGCCCAAAUACUACAAAACAAUGCUUUAAAGUAUUUCUAUUUAGUUUGUAAGGGGUAAAACUCACAAUGGCCUUUCUGCUUUGACUGGGAACGCAGUUCUGAAAUUACUUAGAUGAAGGUUAUGAAAUUCAACUUAUUUGUGAUUUUUAUGCAUCAUGAAACCUCUUGAAAGAGGCCUGGGAUUCCAGAAAUGUUGAACACCCAUCCUUUAAGAGGUCCUCAGCCAAAGAGACAGAAUCUCCAUCUAUUCCUGCAAAUAUUAGCCAAAAUACUGGGGACUUACUAAUAUAGUUCUCAGGUCCAUGAAAGCAGGAUAAGAAUGAGUACAGAUUCUGUUAUGCAAGUUGAUUUUGCUAUUUUGCCUUUUUUUUUUUUUUUUUUUUAAAGCUGUCUUCUGAAUGCUUUGAUAGCCAUCAGGAACAAGAUAUUUUUGCAAUAGAGGGAUAGAGUCUAAUUGUAGAAGGGGAAGAAAUGCUGCCUACAAAAGCCAAGAUCAUGAUAAGAAAACAAAUUUACUGAACAUCAUCUCUGAAAAGACUCUACCAUGCACAGGUGAAAUAUUGCUACAAACACUUGCUCUGAUCCUACAUCAUGCCUUAAACUGCUUUG